ACGCUCGACACCUAGGAGGCAGCAGUGGGGAAUAUUGGGCAAUGGAGGAAACUCUGACCCAGCAACGCCGCGUGAAUGAUGAAGGUCUUUGGAUUGUAAAGUUCUUUUCUAAGGGACGAAGAAAGUGACGGUACCUUAGGAAUAAGCCUCGGCUAACUACGUGUCAGCAGCCGCGGUAAUCUGAGCGGGCUGGCAAGGC
rnacentral:rRNA from 1 species